CUUGAUCUAGCCAGGAUGACUCCUGGAACUUUUAUUAAUUUUCUACAUUGAACACAGCUGAGCAUUACUCACAUCUGACAUCUGUUCAAACAAUAACAUUUCUCCCCUCCUGGCAGCAGGCUAAAAGCAAUAUGGGUAAUAGCUAAGUAUUAUUUGAGACAGGGUCUUGUUAUGUUGCUCAGGCUGAUCUCGAACUCCUGGGCUCAAGUAAUCCUCCCGCCUCAGUCUCCUUAGUGGUUGAGUCCCAGCUCCAAAAGGACUCACACAUUGCCUCCCCUCCCUCCAUUUCCUGACACAUAGGUGGCUAUUCUGCAGUUAACCUUUUAUUGUCCCUCCCCUUGUAUCUUAGCAGCUAGGAAAUGAAGUAGGUUGGUAUGUUUUAGUUGUGUGUGCAUAUGAGAGUAACAGUGUCAGAUAUUAAGGUUCAUGGGUUUUAGAAAUGUGUAUAAUCAAGUCCUCACAGCCAAAAGUUUUAGUGUAAACUAUCAGUUCCAGGAGAAAAAGGAGAAAGAUAACUAAGAAUGAAGAGAAGAAAGUGUCCAGGAAUUCAGUGUGACUAUCAGAAACCACUAAAAAUGAAUGCAGUGCUGGGGAGAACUGCAGACUGGCAGAGCGAGGCCAGAUGGCCUGUCACCCCACGCCUUAGUGAACACCAGGAGCCAACAGACUGCCCAGAGCCAGGGCCUUGGUACCACACCCACACCACAGGCUCACACAGGUAGGAGGCAGGCAGGUUCAAUCUUGCUGCCACAUACUAAUGACCACAGGCGGCCUGAGGUCUUUGAGGUUGUUUCUUCUAACAUUCUGCAGGAGGGAGUUCAUUUUUCAAUACUGAAUGGGCUGCUGUAAACAGGUUAUCUCCUGGGACCACUACAGCUUAAGGACAAAGCGUGGGGAUGGCACAAGUGAAGGGAGGGUGUCUCUCCUGCCUCCUCACCUAAGAUGAAGCCUCCAUCAGCUCACCCACACUUGUUUUUCUCUUCUCCAUGAACUUGCAGGGGCAUGUACCAUUAGUAAGGAAAAUAAAACCUUUUAAAUAUGUUUACUGAAAGCAUCUUUCUUGCACAAGGCUUAAAGUACUGUGCAUUUGUGAGCAUAUCGUGCUUGAUAAUGAACACGCACACACAUUCAGCUCAUUUACAGACAAACCAUCCACAAGUUGGAUUUUCUACAUUUCAAAAUGGAAUGACCAUAGCGGAGGAUGUCAGGUUCUAAGCCCUGUCUUGAUAAAGUUUGAGAGAUUGUAACACGCUUUUACUUUCCUCUUUAGGUUUUAAGCAUUAUGUGCUGACUGAAGCUAGAAAUAAAAACAGCUUUGCUUUCAGCCAAUUUCUGCUUUACUGUGUCACUGAGACAUGUUGUUUGAGACCCCUCAUCAUUAAUGGCCAAUGAUCCAAGAGUGGAAAAAUGGUCUGAGUCAUAAUUAUAAACAGGUUAUGAUCAAGCUGAACGUCUGACCUUAGAAUUAAAUCAGGCCAGAGAAAAGAGAAAUCAUGCUUUGCUCUGUCUUCUACUGCAGGGUUGAUGUUUACAAUGUCCCUCUGCCCCUUUCUCCCAUAUUUGGGUGCUCUUCCCCAUGCUCCUAUGGCAUCCUGCAUGUGCAUGAUUCUAUCAGCACUAAUCUUACUGCCUGCAAUUGUUGGUUUAAACAUCUGCCUCCCCAGAAGACUUGAGGGCAGAAAACUUUUUUUUUUUUUUUUUUGACACGGAGUCUCGCUCUGUUGACCAGGUUGAAGUGCAAUGGUGUGAUCUUGGCUCACUGCAACCUCUGCCUCCUGGGUUCAAGCGUCUACUGCCUCAGCCUCCUGAGUAGCUGGGAUUACAAGUAUGCGCCACCACGCCUGGCUAAUUUUUAUAUUUUCAGUAGAGAAAGGGUUUCACCAUGUUGGCCAGGCUGGUCUCAAACGCCUGACCUCAGGUGAUCCACCCACCUUGGCCUCCCAAAGUGCUGGGAUUACAGGCAUGAGCCACCAUGUCUGGCCCAGAAAGCAUUUUGAUA
rnacentral:lncRNA from 1 species